rnacentral:rRNA from 1 species
AGGACUAACACUGGCGGCGUGCCUAACACAUGCAAGUCGAACGAAGUAGCAAUACUUAGUGGCAGACGGGUGAGUAACACGUAGUCAACCUGCCCUUCAAUGGGGGAUAACUAGCCGAAAGGUUAGCUAAUACCGCAUACGAUCUCUGAGUGGCAUCACUCGGCGAUGAAAGGAGUAAUCCGUUGAAGGAGGGGACUGCGUCCCAUUAGUUAGUUGGUGGGGUAAUGGCCUACCAAGACUCCGAUGGGUAGCUGGCUUGAGAGAGCGACCAGCCACACUGGAACUGAGACACGGUCCAGACUCCUACGGGAGGCAGCAGUGAGGAAUUUUCCGCAAUGGGGGAAACCCUGACGGAGCGACGCCGCGUGUGGGAAGAAGGCCUUCGGGUCGUAAACCACUGUCGAGGGGGACGAUAUUGACGGUACCCCUGGAGGAAGCCCCGGCUAACUACGUGCCAGCAGCCGC